rnacentral:sRNA from 1 species
GGCAUGUGCUCUAAAGGUGGGGAAGCUGGAGAAUAAUAGAUGUGCAAAAAUAGGCAGUGGAAAUAAUUCUCAGAUGAUUUGUUCAUUGAAAGCUUGAUGAAACAGAACCACAAAAAUGGCACAUUUUAAUUUUUCCUCGUAAGUUUUGUUUCAAGGAUAACAAGAUUUUUUGCCUAGGAUACUGGAGCUGAAGUAUGCCCUUUGGAACUUUUUUUUUUUUUUUUUUGAGACGGAGUAUCACUCUUGUGGCCCAGGCUGGCGUGCAGUGGCGUGGUCUCGGCUCACUGCAACCUCCACCUCCCGGGUUCAAGUGAUUCUCCUGCCUCAGCCUCCUGAGUAGCUGGGAUUACAGGCUGUCACCACACCCGGCUAAUUUUUGUGUUUUUGGUAGAGACGGGGUUUCACUGUUUUGGCCAGGCUGGUCUCGAGCUCCUGACCUCAGGUGAUUCACCCACCUUGGCCUCCCAAAGUACUGGGAUUACAGACGUGAGCCACUGCACCUGGCUGGAACUUUUUUGUUUUAAUUAGGAAAUUUCAAACAUAUAGAAGUAGACAGAAUAAUAAUGAACCUGCACAUAUGCAUUGCAUAGCUUCAGUAAUUAUCAAGUUGUGGUUAAUUUUGUUUUAUCUGUACCCUUCCCCUAUUUGGUCCCCCCAUGAUCAAGAGAUGGAUAUCUCACCAUGUUGCCUUGGCUAGACUUGAAUUCCUGAGCUUAAGCAAUUCUCUGUCCUCAGCCUCCUGAGUAGCUGGGACAAUAGACAACGCACCACGGUGCCUGGUUUAUUUGUAUCUUUAAAAAAUUAUUUUAAAUUGAAUUAGCCAGGCAUGGUGUACGUCUGUAGUCCUAACUACUCAACUAGGCUAAGAUGAUAGGGUUGAUUGAGCCUAGGAGUUUGAGGUUACAGUGAGCUAUGCUCAUAGCACUGCACUUCAGCCUGGGUGAUAGAGUGAGACCCAGUCUCUUAAAAAAAAAAACUAAUGAUGGUAAAACAUACAUAACAUAAAAUUUACUCUCUUAACCGUUUGUAAGUGUAGACAUUAUUUUAAAAUCUGCUUCCUAGGAAACACGAACCUUAGCGGAGAUUGCCAAAGUGGAGCUGGACAAUAUGCCACUCCGUGGAAAGCAGCUGCGUGUGCGCUUUGCCUGCCAUAGUGCAUCCCUUACAGUUCGAAACCUUCCUCAGUAUGUGUCCAACGAACUGCUGGAAGAAGCCUUUUCUGUGUUUGGCCAGGUAGAGAGGGCUGUAGUCAUUGUGGAUGAUCGAGGAAGGCCCUCAGGAAAAGGCAUUGUUGAGUUCUCAGGGAAGCCAGCUGCUCGGAAAGCUCUGGACAGAUGCAGUGAAGGCUCCUUCCUGCUAACCACAUUUCCUCGUCCUGUGACUGUGGAGCCCAUGGACCAGUUAGAUGAUGAAGAGGGACUUCCAGAGAAGCUGGUUAUAAAAAACCAGCAAUUUCACAAGGAACGAGAGCAGCCACCCAGAUUUGCACAGCCUGGCUCCUUUGAGUAUGAAUAUGCCAUGCGCUGGAAGGCGCUCAUUGAGAUGGAGAAGCAGCAGCAGGACCAAGUGGACCGCAACAUCAAGGAGGCUCGUGAGAAGCUGGAGAUGGAGAUGGAGGCUGCACGCCAUGAGCACCAGGUCAUGCUAAUGAGACAGGAUUUGAUGAGGCGCCAAGAAGAACUUCGGAGGAUGGAAGAGCUGCACAACCAAGAGGUGCAAAAACGAAAGCAACUGGAGCUCAGGCAGGAGGAAGAGCGCAGGCGCCGUGAAGAAGAGAUGCGGCGGCAGCAAGAAGAAAUGAUGCGGCGACAGCAGGAAGGAUUCAAGGGAACCUUCCCUGAUGCGAGAGAGCAGGAGAUUCGGAUGGGUCAGAUGGCUAUGGGAGGUGCUAUGGGCAUAAACAACAGAGGUGCCAUGCCCCCUGCUCCUGUGCCAGCUGGUACCCCAGCUCCUCCAGGACCUGCCACUAUGAUGCCAGAUGGAACUUUGGGAUUGACCCCACCAACAACUGAACGCUUUGGUCAGGCUGCUACAAUGGAAGGAAUUGGGGCAAUUGGUGGAACUCCUCCUGCAUUCAACCGUGCAGCUCCUGGAGCUGAAUUUGCCCCAAACAAACGUCGCCGAUACUAAUAAGUUGCAGUGUCUAGUUUCUCAAAACCCUUAAAAGAAGGACCCUUUUUGGACUAGCCAGAAUUCUACCCUGGAAAAAUGUUAGGGAUUCCUUCCAAUAGUUAGAUCUACCCUGCCUGUACUACUCUAGGGAGUAUGCUGGAGGCAGAGAGGGCAAGGGAGGGGUGGUAUUAAACAAGUCAAUUCUGUGUGGUAUAUUGUUUAAUCAGUUCUGUGUGGUGCAUUCCUGAAGUCUCUAAUGUGAUUGUUGAGAGCCUGGGGAAACCAUGGCAAAGUGGAUCCAGUUAGAGCCCAUUAAUCUUGAUCAUUCCGUUUUUUUUUUUGUUGUUUUUUUUUUUUUUUGUCCAUCUUGUUUCAUUUGCUUGCUCCGCGCCCGAGACGGAGUCUUACUCUGUCGCCCAGGCUGGAGUGUAGUGGCACGAUCUCGGCUCACUGCAAUCUCUGCCUCCCGGGUUCAAGCUUGUCCAGGCUGAUCUUGAACUCCUGACCUCGUGAUCCACCCUCCUCAGCCUCCCAAAAUGCUGGGAUUACAGGGGUGAGCCACUGUGCCCAACCUCACUUGCUUUCUUAUCCUUACACUCCCCCAGUCCCAGAGAAACUGCCACAUACACCACAAAAACCAAACAUCCCCCAAUGACCUUAGCCCCAUUGCUCCAUUAACUCCCAGGUGAGAAUUCAGGCAAACGUCCACAAAGGUCACAGGCAGCGUACAUACGGUUCUGUUAUACCCCAUAUAUUACCCCUUCAUGUCCUAAAGAAGACAUUUUCUCUUAGAGAUUUUCAUUUUAGUAUAUCUUUAAAAAAAAAAUCUUGUGUUAACUUGCCUCCAUCUUUUUCUUGGGUGAGGACACCCAGGAAUGACCCUUUUGUGUCUAUGAUGUUGCUGUUCACAGCUUUUCUUGAUAGGCCUAGUACAAUCUUGGGAACAGGGUUACUGUAUAUUGAAGGUCUGACGGUAGCUCUUAGACUCGCCUAUCUUAGAUAGUCAUGCUGUGCAUUUUUUUUUCAUUGGUGUACUGUGUUUGAUUUGUCUCAUAUUUGGAGUUUUUCUGAGAAAUGGAGCAGUAAUGCAGCAUCAACCUAUUAAAAUACAUUUUAAGCCUUUUAA